CCUGCGCAUCAGAUGUUACAUUUUGAAACGUUCUCACCGUAAGGUUAUUAAUAACGUUAGAUAGCUAAAAUACUGCUUUGCUCUUCGCAGCUGAUAAGUAACAUAUUUCCGCAUAUAAACCAAUGGAUUCACUUGACGAAGUCACACUGGAAAUAUUGAAAGAAGAUCUUCCAGGGACUAUUUCAUGUGAAGAUCUGAACAUUUCCUUUGAAGAAAAACCUCAUGGCCAGCAGUACAUCAAGAGGAGCUGAAGUUUUCUGUGCAGCAAGAUAACUUACAAGACAGCUGUAUAUCUCCCUCCUCUUCUGAAUGCAAUGCUCAAAAAAUGCCAGUCUUUCACCUACCCCUCAAUCCAGUGAGCAAGGAUGUUCCACAAAACUUUUAAGAGAAGCCAGCCCCUCUUAAAUCAUUCAACUACCAAGCCCCGAAUACAUACUUCAUAGUGACAGUGAGUUGGAGCAGGUCAGAAAACAUUACUUUGAAAGAAUACAAUGCUCCUCUUUCCCUAUGUGCUGCAGUUCAAAGGAUCUUCGCUGUAGAUUCAUUAGAAAUACAGUGACCAACAUAGUGCCCAUACUGAGGACAACAACAAGGGAAGACAAAUAUACCUCCAAACAUGAGGUUUCUUCAAUGGCAAAACGUAUAGUUAAGUAUUAUCCAAUGCUACGUGUAGCUGAAGUUCAAAAUUCAUGGAGCGUAAUCUCAUUACAGGAACCUGUGUUUAAACAACUGAAAAGGCUACAGAAUAUCUGCACACCUCAGAAGCGACAGAGCUCUAUGCCUCAGAUAAAUAAAGAGAUGUCUCGGAGUCACCACUGACAAGCCUGAUGCUGCUGAAGUCGAGAAUUCAGGCGAGGCCGAUUCCACUGCAUCAUCGGGGAAUUCUAUUGCUUCAGCGACACUUUUUAACAUGUCUCCUUCUAAUCGUACCCAAGAAGUUACAGUAGAGAAAGAAUGUGAACCAUCUGCUGUUGACAGCCACCAAAUACAGGCCAGGCACUACAAAACACUACAGGACCUUUACAAGAAGCCAAAGCCAAAUACAUUUGCAGUUACCUAGCUCCUUGAUCAUGAAUUUAAUGCACAGAGGUCAUUUAUAGAUUCUAUGGGGGGCUUACCCAUGCUUUAAAGAACUUGAUCAUUUGGAAUAAUCUUAACUGCAUCACAGAGGUUAAGAGCAGAUGGAUCAGUUUUUAUGGAAAAGCACAGUUUUAUGGUGUAAUGAAGAAGAUCCUGAAGCCUCCACAUAUGCACGAUGAGGUGAAAAAUGCCAUCGUCAUGUUUAGAGCUCUGCCAUCCAUGUUUCCUUCACUUUCUCUACCCCCAAAAAAGUUGGGAAACAAAACAUGAGGCAUUAGUUCAUGUCCUUAAGACCUCUGAGAAUCCCGAUGCCUUUCUACAACAAAGACCACUGUCUAGCCCUGCCCUUAUUGUGGACCAAGAUAACUGCAUGCUGGCUAUUGGAAGUGAGCCUGUGAGAGCUUUCCCUCAAGAAAUGUUGCAGGAAGAUAUCAUGUACCUUAUGGCAUACUAUUAUGCACUACAUCUAAUCUAACAUAUCCUAAAUGCAUUGCUGCUGUCCUCUCUGCAAUUCAUACUGAAAUAUUACUGGACACAAUUCAUGAGAAGGCAACUGUAUCUGAAUGGAAACAGUUUAUUGGUCAGUAAUCACUGAGGCACUACUUAAGCCUGGCCAACAUAAUUAACUUGAUACAUUUGGAAGCAAAAUGAUUGGUUAAGUGUAACUGCAAAUUAGGUAAAGUGUGAUUUAGAAACCAUUAAUAGAAAUUGUACAUACAUUCCAAAUAAUUUGAAGGAAAAAUACAAAUAUGCUAGAAGAAAAAUUGUGUGAGCCAAAUGUAGAACAGUAAAUGCAUGU